UGGUGGAGUGAUUUGUCUGGUUAAUUCCGAUAACGAACGAGACUCUGUCCUGCUAAAUAGAUGCAGCCUUUUUUUGGGUUGUAUUUUCUUUCUUAGAGGGACUGGCGAUUAUUAGUCGCACGAGAUUGAGCAAUAACA
rnacentral:rRNA from 1 species